UGAACCCAUGAACCGUGAGCUCGUGACCUGAGCCAAAGUCAGAUGCUUAACUGACUGAGCCGCCCAGGCGUCCCCAUUUUCUCUUAGCCAGUUAAUGUGGUUUCACAUUUGAAGUUCAAUUGAGUUUCAAAUGUGAAACCAACCUUGCGUUCCUAGUAUAAACCCCACUUGGUCAUGAUCUAUCAUCCAUUUUACAUAUUGUUGAAUUUAUCUUGCUGAACUAUUAAGAGGUUUUGCAUCUGUGUUCAUAGGAAAUGUUGUUCAGUAGCUUUCUUUUCUCCACUGCCAGGAAGAAGAUUCGUGGAUACUUCUGUACAUUUAUUUCAGUAAAAAUGCCUCGCGUAUCUACACAGUGGUUCUCAAAGUGGGAUCCUUGGACCGACAACAUUGACAUCACCUGGAAACUUAUCAGAAAUGCAGAAGUCCAGGCCCUAUCCCUGACCUGCCGAUUUGUAAACGCGGCGUGGAGCCCUCCAGUGCCUCUGUAUUCUUGAAAGCUGAGUAAGUUCACACCGUAUGAAGUCUCUCACAAAAUGUUUUCGAGAAGCUCUCAGGAAAUUCACACCGGGACAAAUUCCACACCAGGGAAGGUCUCCUCCGCCUGGGGUCCUCGGUCACCUUGCUUGGGCCCUGUCUCCCCCCCCAUCACCGCUUGGCCAUGAUGCCAAAACACCUUGCACAUGUCACCCCCUCUCCACGCCUCCCUGUCUACCCACCGAGUUUCUCCAAGGGCAGCCCAGGGAUCUGCGUCUGAUCAAGUUCAGACCCUUCCCGACUCCCCUGCCUGCCCCCCUCCUCACCACAGCCCGAGGGUCAGAGCAGGUGGGGUGGCCCCAGAGCCUGCCUUUCAUCACCUGGCACCCCCCCCGGCCCCCUCUCUGUUCUCCCACCUGGUCCCCGCCUCCCAGCCCCCAGCUCGCUCUGUCCCUCAGACUGAUUUCAUCCUCCCUCCGUCUGAAAGGGCCCUCGGGUCCUUCCACAGCGUCAGGGAGGGGUCUUCUUGCUCCUCGGGACCCACAGCACGUCCUCUGUCUGAAACCUACUUCCGCACGUGUCCUAUUGUCCGAGCCAGGCGGUGAGCCUCUGACACUGGGGGCCAUUUCUCAUGCUCCGUCUAGAACCCUACAUUCCACGGAUGUUCAGGAGACGCCUCCGAUGGAAGGAGUGAUGGUAAAAAGGGGAAAGGUCGCGAAAACCUUCCUACUUUCUCAUCAGCUAUGCACCGCAAGGAUCCCCGCUUCACUAUCGCACCUGGUUGUCUGCCUUGCAAAUGUUGGUUUGGAACCAAAUAGAAGUGUUUUUUUUUUUUUUUUUAAGGAGUUUCGUUAUUUAUUUUGAGAGAGAGAGCACAGGAGGGGCAGG